UUCCCUUCGGGGAACAGAGUGACAGGUGUNGCAUGGUUGUCGUCAGCUCGUGUCGUGAGAUGUUGGGUUAAGUCCCGCAACGAGCGCAACCCUUGAUCUUAGUUGCCAGCAUUUAGUUGGGCACUCUAAGGUGACUGCCGGUGACAAACCGGAGGAAGGUGGGGAUGACGUCAAAUCAUCAUGCCCCUUAUGACCUGGGCUACACACGUGCUACAAUGGAUGGAACAAAGGGAAGCAAAACCGCGAGGUCAAGCAAAUCCCAUAAAACCAUUCUCAGUUCGGAUUGCAGGCUGCAACUCGCCUGCAUGAAGCCGGAAUCGCUAGUAAUCGCGGAUCAGCAUGCCGCGGUGAAUACGUUCCCGGGCCUUGUACACACCGCCCGUCACACCACGAGAGUUGGUAACACCCGAAGUCGGUGAGGUAACCUUUUGGAGCCAGCCGCCGAA
rnacentral:rRNA from 1 species